UACUAAGUAAAUUCGCCCCUAGUUUCUAUUUGGUGUAGGCCAAGCGGUCAGAGGAAUUAAGGCAUGCUAGUUUUGUUGGAAUUUAUCCUUGAAAGGAUUUAGCGCUCCAGUGAGUGGAAACGAAAAGACGCACGUGCAAUGUUCGGAGGGUUAAGGACUAGAUCCUAAGCAACUGCUCCUGUACCGUUACGGGAAGCGGCAUCAAGUCUAUCAUUACGUCUAGGGUUACCCACUACAGCAGUCAUGAGGGGUUCAAAUAGCAACUCAAGUUGGCUGGCAUGUACGCUAGAUCACCGGGGUAAAGGUCGAAUGCCAGCAACCGCGGUUAAAUUCACACGGGAACUCGCGGGUUGAAAGGUGUCCUGGGAAGGAAUGUUAUGCCUGACUAGGGCACUGGGGAUGCUCGUGUGCCGGUCAGAUUCAAAGUGCCGGCAGAAGAGACAGUUAGACGCAGAAGAAAGCAAAGUUUCGGCAGAGUCAUGCCCAAUUAGGAGUGCAAUCCGAAAUUGUGGUAAAGAGGGCCUUAAGACUCUGAUAGUUGAAUCUGUGAAAAUUGGAGAGUCAACCGGGAUUAGAGACCCCGCUAGUCCCAGACGUUAAUUAUGCUUACCUCUCCAGUGGUAGGGGUCCCUAGGGAGAACCCAGACAUAUGAGAUAUUAGAGUUUGCAAGCUACCGGAUGAUUACGAGCAGUACCAGGCUUAAAAUUCGAAGGGGUAGACGGCUUCUUGAAGGUAUAAGGGGAGCUUGAUCUUUUAUCCGAUGAUCCCCGUUUUACCUUACUCUGACUGGUGGUGGGUGUGGCCUAGAGCCUUAAAAUCUACCCAUCUCAGGUGUCAUAUCGCUGCCUAAAGCUUAUGGUGCGAAUCGACUAAAAAUGAUACUUGUUUUCUUAGAAUUCUAAGUGCCCAUACUUGAAGCGUGGUUUUGAGUACGAUCAGUGUGCGUGAAGCUAACGUAAAGGGGGCAUAGCCAGUAGUUUUGCCCAGCUCCCUCUUUAAGGCUGGUCCUUGAAGAGUCUUAAGACAGAAGACAAGUCGACAGGUCCCUCAUGUCAGAGGCUACGAUUGAGCUACAAAUAGCUUACAUUAGGCUAACGAAAUGUGGUUGAAAUAGCCACAGGAAGCAGGACUUAUAAGUAAUAGGAGUUUAGGAAGCUCUUAUGAAUUCUAUUCAACCGGGGAGUGUACUAACCGCCCAUCACCCGGGGGGAAACCGCUGGUAAGUUGUAACAAGGUAGGCUUACGGGAACGUGUGCCUGAAACAGGAAG
rnacentral:rRNA from 1 species